AACGAACGCUGGCGGCAGGCUUAACACAUGCAAGUCGAGCGCCCCGCAAGGGGAGCGGCAGACGGGUGAGUAACGCGUGGGAAUCUACCCAUCCCUACGGAAUAGCUCCGGGAAACUGGAAUUAAUACCGUAUACGCCCUACGGGGGAAAGAUUUAUCGGGGAUGGAUGAGCCCGCGUUGGAUUAGCUAGUUGGUGGGGUAAAGGCCUACCAAGGCGACGAUCCAUAGCUGGUCUGAGAGGAUGAUCAGCCACACUGGGACUGAGACACGGCCCAGACUCCUACGGGAGGCAGCAGUGGGGAAUAUUGGACAAUGGGCGAAAGCCUGAUCCAGCAAUGCCGCGUGAGUGAAGAAGGCCUUCGGGUUGUAAAGCUCUUUUACCCGGGAAGAUAAUGACUGUACCGGGAGAAUAAGCCCCGGCUAACUCCGUGCCAGCCGCCGCCGUAA
rnacentral:rRNA from 1 species